AGAGCGAACGCUGGCGGCAGGCCUAACACAUGCAAGUCGAGCGCCCGUAGCAAUACGGGAGCGGCAGACGGGAUAGUAACACGUGGGAACGCGCCCUUCGGUUCGGAAUAACUCAGGGAAACUUGAGCUAAUACCGGAUACGCCCUUACGGGGAAAGAUUUAUUGCCGAAGGAACGGCCCGCGUCCGAUUAGCUAGUUGGUGAGGUAAUGGCUCACCAAGGCGACGAUCGGUAGCUGGUCUGAGAGGAUGACCAGCAUCACUGGGACUGAGACACGGCCCAGACUCCUACGGGAGGCAGCAGUGGGGAAUAUUGGACAAUGGGCGCAAGCCUGAUCCAGCCAUGCCGCGUGGAUGAUGAAGGCCUUAGGGUUGUAAAGUCCUUUUAACGGGGAAGUAUAAUGACGGUACCCGUAGAAUAAGCCCCGGCUAACUUCGCGCCAGCAGCCGC
rnacentral:rRNA from 1 species